rnacentral:lncRNA from 1 species
AAAAAAGAAACAAGAAAACAGAGCACGAAGGGGCUAUAACAUAAGCGAUGACAAUGACCCAUUACGAUCAUUUCUUUUUGCUUCCGCGGAUGCCGGGGCGACCCUUUGACGAUUCGGGAGCGGCGGCGCUCGUUGUUGUGGCAUGAAGGUUCGCGACCUUCUCCUCCUCGAAGGGGAUCUUAGGGUGACGCGCCUCGUGAUGAAUCUGCAUCGAUUUCACGUCAGGCGCCGUGACUUUGCAGUGCGGGCACUCAUAUUUCGCGUGCCCGCCUUUCUCCACGCCGGACCGGUCCGCCUGGCCCGCCUUACCGCCGCCGCGGUU